UCUCAUGUGCCUAAUUAUCAAAAAUCAUAUAAUAAUACGUCGCUAAUUAAGAUACAUGUUACAACGUGGGAUCAUAAUUUUGCCAUCUAGCUAGUUUGGAUCCCACGUUUUCUAUACACAUAUCCGACUUAGUUGGCCCAAAUUUACCUCAUCGCAUGAAUUCAUUUUUGCUCAUAUACAUGCAUGCAUGAGCAUGAGCAUGAGCAUUUGAUUUUUUAGUAAUGUUAAGGAGACUAAAUUUGUAAAUUAAAUUUUGUAAACUAAAUGACAUGGAAGUUGAUGAGUGAAUUAUUAUUUAAACGUUGAUAAACGUGCUUAUUUCCUAUUUGUGACACAUCAUUUAGUUUGUAAAUUUAGGGGAAUGUAUUCAAUUGACACUACUACAAAAUGGUCUUAUAGUGUCAAUGGGUGGUGUCGGUUUAAUCUAAUAUAGUGGCGGACAAGACAAUUGCGACACUAACUGAACAUGACGUCGGAUUUAAUGUCUCUUAUAAGCGUCAUAAAGUACUGGUGUCGCUUUAAAACCGACGUAAACAUACAUUUUAAUAUUUUUUAAAUACUGGUGUCACUUUUAAACCGACGUAAACAUAUAUUUUAAUAUUUUUUAAAUACUGGUGUCGCUUCUAAAUCGACGUAAACAUACAUUUUAAUAUUUUUAAACACUGGUGUCGCUUUUAAGCGACAUAAAGUAUCAAUGUAGGGCAUAACGUCUGUUUGAACCGACGCAAACUUGUCUUAUUUCGAGGCCGCUGAUACAACUGUGGAGGCUGUCAGGGACAUGUCGGUUUUAACCGACGCAAAAUUGUCCUUAUUUCGACACCACACAAACUUUUCCUUAUUUUUUUAAAUUUUUUAAAAUCUGCGUCGGUUAUGAGCGACAUAGAUUUUAGUUUUUUAAAUAUUUUGAAACCUGGUGUCUGUUGUAAGCGACAGCUUGAUGGUAUUUAUAACCCCCCCCCCCCAAUGCCGUGUUUUCUUCUUCCUCUCUUGCAUUUUACUUAGUCGUUUUUCCAAUUUACUAACUCCCGUGUUCUCUCUCUUGCGCCUUUCUUAUUUGUUCUUCCAACUUCAUUUGUUCCUUCUUCACAAUAGUAAGUUUUUCUUGCUUCUAAUGUUUUUAUUUUCUCCUUUUAUGUUUAAUUUUUAUUUACAAUUUAUUUUUGUAGGGAAUUUAUUUGAGCUGGUUGAGUACAUAAAGAGUUGAUCGAUGUUGGAAUUCUUCCAUAAUUCAGGUUUCUACCACUAAAUUCUUUAAAUUUUAAAUUGUAUAAUACACAAGUUUAUUUAUUUAAAAAUUCUAAUUUAAGUACUUAGAUAAUUUUCUACUAUUUUUGUUAAAUUAAUAAAUAUUUUGUCGAAUUAAUUAAUUUUGUCACUUGAAUUGUUAUGAGAAAAUGGAAAUGAAUAAUAUUUAUAAGCAUUUAUGUUAAACUAACAUAAGAGUAUAUUAUGUUAAAUUAAUUUGUUUUGCACUUUAAUUGUUAUUUUAAUUUGUUGUUAUUUUAAUUUGUUUUCGUUAUCAUUUUGAUAACUUUUGGUUGUUAUUUAUUAGAAUGGAUUAGAUGAGCAAAAUUUUGAUAACUUUUUGUUGUUCUUUUAAUUUGUUUUUACUAUAAUAGGUGUUGAAAAUUAAAAGAUUGCAAUCGUGAUAGAGUUCGAGGGUUGAAAGAUAGAAAUUGAAAAUUCUAAUAGUUAUGCCUACAUGAUAGGGAUUGAAAGAUUGUAGGCAUCUUAGUGUUCACGUAAUAUUUUGCGCUUGUUUGUACCAUACUUAGGGCCUCCGUAUUUAGACCUCGUAUAAAUACUCGGGGGACUCAAAUGUAAUUAUGUAAUAAAUGAAGAGGCAAAUAUGUAAUAAGUGAGGAGCCCUUAUUCUAGAAAAGGGACUCCUCACUCUCCUCAUGGGGGAGAGGCCAAUUCUUAGGCCUGAGAUCCCCAAGGCUUCAAGCCUCUCAUAUUCAGGGCAAAGCUCUCAAGCAAAGCUCUCAAGCUUUCUCUCCCUCACAAUCCUCUCACAAACAGAGAAAUACAAUAUCAGUGUGGACGUAGCCCAAACAUUGGGGUGAACCACGAUACAUCUUGUGUUAUUUACUUUCUUGCAGAUUCACGGUAGGAUUUACGUUGUUCCAAGACCCCUCCGGUUUUGCAUCAACAUUUGGCGCCGUCUGUGAGAAUCGACACGAAAAGCUAUGUCAGUUCUCUUUCAUUUUUUCAUCUCACCACCGUGAGACCUCACUACACUCCACCUUGAAUCUGCAAAAUCUGAAAAAAAACCUAACAACCCAGAGUUUUCCCAGAAAUCUAGACACCAUCAGAAACCUCUUUCUUUUUACAGAGACUGCAAACUCUUCAAUUAAGUCUUAAAGCUC
rnacentral:lncRNA from 1 species